UAUAAAUUAACCCUCUGUGGCUAGCUUGCUGUAGAUUCACUUUGGGAGGGGAGUGGGGUGACUGUUGUAGAGCUGGGAGAGUCAAGCUAUCACUUCCUAGGGACUCAAGGGCUCUGACAGCACUCUGCAACCCUAUCAGCUAUCCAGUGGUAUUCAGCAAGCUGCCUAAAAUCUCCAUCUGUGCUGCAGUGUGCUUUGGUGAGAUCCCAACACAACAUACCUUUUGUGGAUGGACUUUGUGAUGAUGUGAGUCAGUGCCAGGUGUUGAGUAAGCAGCUGUAUUGGAGACAGCUGAAUGCUGAGGGACGGAGGUUCCCCGCUGCUGCCUGGAUGGAUGGUUUCACCAGUCCUGCCUUGGUCCCAGGAGAUGGUCUUGUGCACUCUCCCAUGUGUCAUGACUUCAUGAGUGUACCCCUUGGAUCCCAUCAUCGUUUGUCUUUGGAAAGGAGCAAAACAGGGCACUGUUUAUCAGGAAUUGGAGAGCCCUGCCCUGUGAAUAAGAUUUGAUCGAUAGAUGCCUCCUUACAACACUGACCACUUCUUCCAUGCUCCCCAAAGCCUGUUGUGAGCAGUGAGAAACCUUCCCAGAGCACAGAGCCCCAGAGGACCUGAGCAAGAGCCCUCUGUGCACCCAGGCCUGGCUUUAAGGAAUCAUUUGGAGUUCAGCAGCAGGUUAAUCUGCCUGCAGAGCCAGAUCCACUCCCAGCUUUUCCUUCAAAAGAGUUCACGUGCUUUCUGCAGGUUCAAAAAGCAAAGAGCGAGAGAGAGCUCCAAAUCCAUCCACAUUAAUUUACUUUUCUUCCUAGUUCUUGACUGCUACAGCAAUCCCCAGCCUGAGCUCUCGUUUGUCAGCAUUUUGGGGCUGGCUCAGCUCCCAUCAGCAGAACAACACAGUCACCCCCAGGAGCCAAAAGCAUCGAAGGAGGAGGGACAGCAGCAGCCGUACCCACUGCUUUUCAGUAAUGAUCCAAUUUACUUGGGUUUUAUUUUUUUGCCACUCUCUUUUUUUCUCAACUAUGAAGAUUUAUGGUGAGGAUGGUGCCCGGCUGCAUCUGAGUGCAAUAAUCCUCCUGCGGUUGGUGAAAACCAAGCAGCUAUUCCUACAGCUUGUUAGCAGUCAGGAAGAUGGAAGGAAGUGGGAGGAAUCUGGAGGGUGAGGUUUUUGAGUGCCUCACUCGUCACUGCUGAACCCAACGCUAUUUAUGGUGCAAUUAUCACCGCAGACAGAAUCCUUUAUCAUCCAGCCAAUAUUCUGGGUACAAAUCCUAUUGCAGCACAGCCACUCCAUAUAUCAUCCAGGCACAGCAACAGCCAGGUGAAGAGGUUCGGAGCAGUGAGCAGCUCUGCACAAGGCAGGGAAGAGGGAACCAGGUUCCUGCCUGUCCCCAUUGCCCCACUUCUUUCCCCAAAUCCUUUUUCUUUAGGGAGGAAGCAAUGCAUUUCUCCUUCUCAGUGAUGGCAUCCCUGCUGAAGUUUGGCUGUGUUUCUCUAGGGAAAAGUAGGUCUAGAAGAAAACUCCCAUGCAGCCACACCUCUCUGGUUAGUGUGGGGCAAGGCUGGAGGAGGAGGGGCCAUAAAUAGUGCCAGUGAAGCUGGGAUGUUGGAAUAAAAGUGUAGUGUAGAUUCUCUGAUGCCUUAUAGGGGUUGAGCCUCCACAUACCCAAUAUACUUUCACGAACCUGCUUUAACAGGGGGUUGGUUAAGAUGAUCUCCAAAGGUCCCUUCUACCCCCUGUAACUCUGUGAUUCUGUGAUUCCCUUCCCCACGAUGCCCACAUUUCUCUUCUGUUUCACUGCCUGUGUCAGAACCUUGGUACCACUGGGAGCCCCUUUCCUUGUGUCGAACAUUGGAGUUAGGAGGUGGGAGCCAGCAAGGAUGCAAGCAGCUGGUUCCUACAGAACCAGACCAAGCCCUGUAGGAACACACACCUGAUCCCACUGCACACUGCAGCACAGAUCACCCCACCCCAUCCUGCUCAUCAGCCUCACCAAGUCUCUUUUGUCACUGCACAGAGCCAGGCUGCAUUUACUCAGGGAUAAACCUUAACACCUGCAAGGAGUGAAAUUCUUGAGGCACAUAGCUGUAAUAACCAUUGCUCACAAUGCUCCCUUACCUUCUAAUUGCUGAAGACUCCUCCUUAUUCGCAUUCUCGGUGCUUGAAAAGGGAAGAAGGCAUCUAGGAAAUGUAAUUUAAUACUUCGAAUGUGCUCACUUAAUUGCAAUCCCCAUAAGCCAGCCACACAAAACUAAACAAAUUCGAUUAAUUUAUUUCAAUUUGCACAAGUCUCCCUCUCAGACUGUAAUUAAUGGAGGGAAACAAUUAAGGUAAACACAGCACAGCUGAGAGAGCUGUUCUUGCUAAAAGUCACAUUUUAUUUUAAUAGUGCUGUAUUUAUAUAAGUUCCACCCUUUUAACAAGUUUCCCAUUACCUUGGUGUUUAAUCAGUGCUGUAAAUAUUUUGCUUCAACUGAGAUGGUUUUUGUGAAGCCAUAAAUCAACAGGGAGGGAGAGAGCAGGGAGAGUGCAUUGCUGUAGGGGGAAUAGGGAGACAGGGGCUGUGGCUGGAGCCUUGGCUCUCAGCAUUAAGACACUGUGUAAAUAUAUAUGGCCCCAUAAAGGUUCCCUCUCUCUACACGCUGGCACUGUCCCACUGAGCACUGAAAAGCAGGAAUGAUGCGAUCCAUCUGUCAUUGCUCCAAAGUGUCGUUGCCAUAGCAUUA